rnacentral:rRNA from 1 species
AUCUACUCGGUUCAUACAUCGAUGAACAACGCAUCAGAAUGCGUUAU